CCAACUGUAUAUUUAAAGAGACUCAUCAGUUAGAGAGAGACUCAACUGCAUCCUAGGGAGCUGACCUAAGAAUCACUGUAGCCAUAUGCAGCACAGGAACCUGAAACUCUAGGCUCAGCUGCAGCCUUUUCAGUGAUGAAGUCAAUGCUUAAGUCUAGACUAGUAAUGAAUAAGGUAGCUGUAAGUAAGAAUAGUUCAUCACCCACUGCUGGGUUUGCAUCCUCCUCCAAAUAGGCCCUCCUUAUUUGCUUCCUGUGGCUGCUGUAGCAAAUUAUCACAAACUGGGAGGCUUAAAACAACAGAAAUUUAUU
rnacentral:lncRNA from 1 species